GCGGUCAUUCUUUAACUUAUGUGGAGUCGGUUUGCUUUCCUUCUCCACACCGCCUCAAUUAGUUGCGUCAAGCCGAGUCACUGUCUAUUUUCUCAUGUUUUUCCGUUUUCCCGCCACCUCCUACUUGGUUUUGCGCACCGACCACUGGGUUCAAUAAACGGCGUCGUUUGGCUAUUGAUGAAGGUCACCUAGACGUCACGAUGAGGUAGAAGACUUAACGGUGGGUUUUCCUUCUUGGCGGCCACGUUCCCCCCAAAGCUGCAUACCUUUUGGAUCCCCUUUUACCGCCACCUCCCAUUGAUUGCUGCUGAGUCACCCUUUUGACUUCCUCUUCAUGCCGCUCCAUGUUUAUUCUGUAUUUAAGGGUUUUGUUGCUUCACGAUUGAUGUUGAAGAGGACGAAAGGGAAGAGCCUGAUGAAGAGACGAUUUAGCCUAAAGACCGUUACUAAUGACAAAUCGAUGACAUGGAACCUUAAAUUAAGGUAAUCUAUUUUUCUCAUUUUCUCUUUCUCGAUUACUUAUUGACGUGCACAGUAUCCACCACCAUGACCAGCUUGUAUUCUUACUCUCAUCUUUUGUUGACUGUUAGAUAAAACUAAUUUUCCUUUUUUUUUAAUAAUUUAACAUAUACAAUGACUUUCUUGAUUCUCUUUUGAUUUUAGUAAUCGUACAUGAAAAAACCAUCAUGACCACCUUCAGAAUAUAGUUCUUUUAGUGCCUGGGUUUGCUGGAUCUAUUCUCAAUGCUAAUGAUGUUGAAACAAGGAAAGAAGAGAUGGUUUGGGGUUCAAAUUUGGGAAUUUGAUUGUCAAUUUUUGUGGGAAACUUUGCUGUCAGUUCGUACUGAUUGAACAAAGUAUGUUCUUAUCUAACACUAAAUUUAUUAAUCAGAUUUCUAAUAUAUCUACAUGCCCUUCCAGAUCAUCUUUCUUGAUGUUUUUUUAUAAUCGUCAUACCCAGGGUAUUUGUAGUCUUGUCAUGGUUCUACUUAAUUAGGAUUUAGAAUAUUCGUAUGAGACGCAUUUGUGAAUCAAGGUAAUGGUUUCAAUUUCGGUAUGUCCUUUAAAAGCGGAAUUGUUCUUGAUCAAAAAAUAAGAUAUCUCAAUUACCCUUUAACAACAGUGUCAUCCGAAAAUAUACAGCAAUAGUAGAAUAUCAUUCCAUCUUAAUGUUUAAUGACUAUUGAGUAUUGAUUGCAUGUCUAUCAUCCGAAUAUAAACGUCAAUGAUGUGCUAGAAAUUGAAAAUUUAUAAUGACUAACAAUUCUUGGAGGCUCUUGAAACCUUUUUAAUUGUGUGGUUUGAAAGUUUCCAUUGUGAGUACUUUGUUAUCUCAAGUUUAGUGUGCUAGAAUAUGGAGAUUUGGCAGGAGACAUGUUUCUGAACCUUUGGAUACCACUCGAUAAAUUUGUUGAGGAUGAAAAUGUAGUUGCAGGUAAGGAUACAUUAUCUGUCAGAUUAGUAAUAUGGUUUUUGUUGGUUACAUAGAUUGUAAUUAAUUCAUAUGAGAUAUAAUAAGGUUAGGAUGAGGACUUAUUUGUGUUGAGAAUUUAGUAGCAUUUUCCCCAGAUGUUGGUGGACUAGCUACAAGCUCGAGAGUUUCAUGAUCUUUUAAUAUUUUUCUUAGGUUAAAACUAACAGUUUAUUUGUUAUUUUCAUACAAAAAAUGAAAGGGAUUAUUUCAUUAAAUCCUUUUGCGGAAUUGAGAAACCUAGAUUGCAAGUCAACCUCAGACCCUGUGGACUCAUCAAACACUUUCACCGCUCCAUUCCGAAACAAAAUACUUCUAUGGAGGUAAUCGUGAUAGGGGAAUGAGCAUGGUAUUUCCAAAGGUUUUUGGAUUCAAGUUGUUGGGGAAAUAAAAUAAUGGUGCAAAAGCUACUGAUUGCGCUUUUUGACAGUCGCCCAAAGGUAUGCAGCAACAAAAACAUGCUAAAAUCCCCUUCCUCAAUAGAUGGAACAAAGUCUCAGCAGAAACACAUGACACCAUUAGUUGAUGCAAGAGUUUUAUAUAGCUGGAAAAAUAAAUCCUUUAUGAGGAUAUCAAACCUUGAGCAUAACGUAUAUAUAAUAAGUAGUACUGCAUGAAUCAUAAAUGCAUAUAUUAUAUCCAACGCAUACCAAUUGUUCGAUACAAUGCUCAUGACAAUUCUCUUUCCUUAUGAUCUCAAUUUUAAUAAACUUAUACAUAUACUUUGCAAGAAAGGAAAUGUUUAGGAGAGUGAGUUUUUUCCACAAGUUAUCGAAGUAUUUAUGAAUAUUAUUUGUGUUUAUUUAGCCAACUGUUGGUUGUCUUCAUUUGACAGAAGUGUGUCGGGUGUAAUUUUGAUACCUAUAAAAAGUUUACAUUUUGAUUCUUUUUUUUUUUUACCUUAAACUUUACUGCUCAAAGAACAUACAAACCCAUCUCAUUUAGAGCUUCAAAAAAACUGCAAAUCGAGGAAGAAGAUGCACAUGGGAGAAACUUUCAGCCAUUAAAGGCAACUGUGGAAACUGACUUGUUCUUGAUGAAUUUGUUGUAAUUUUAAACCGCAUGGAUACUUAGAACUAUCAGGCUUGUUCUGCUGGUUUUGAUGUUUUUCUUUUGACUUUGGCCCAAUAUCCACCCCUUGACAGUGGUUUUUCAUAGCAGAUACCAAGUUGGUAUAUAGAAAUUUAGAUAUUUGUUAUUUGUA